rnacentral:rRNA from 1 species
CAAACGACUCUCGGCAACGGAUAUCUCGGCUCUCGCAUCGAUGAAGAACGUAGCAAAAUGCGAUACUUGGUGUGAAUUGCAGAAUCUCGUGAACCAUUGAGUUUUUGAAUGCAAGUUGCGCCCGAAGCCGUCAGGCCAAGGGCACGUCUGCCUGGGCGUCACGC